rnacentral:rRNA from 1 species
GGAAUCUUCCACAAUGGGCGCAAGCCUGAUGGAGCAACACCGCGUGAGUGAAGAAGGGUUUCGGCUCGUAAAGCUCUGUUGUUAAAGAAGAACACGUAUGAGAGUAACUGUUCAUACGUUGACGGUAUUUAACCAGAAAGUCACGGCUAACUACGUGCCA